GAAACCUCUGCUAACAGCUGUUCCUAUUCCCAGAGUUAUUCCCAAAACUGAAUCCAAGUAAAGGGAAAACCUGGUCUUUGUUCUGCGGACCUCUUCUCCUAUAUCCCUAUUAAAAGGACAGAGGAGAAGCUUCCCAUACUGUAUCUUCUAGGUCAGAAGCUAAAAUCUUUCUAUAGAAGAUGAAGUGAUGAAUACAUCUCUAAAGGUGCAGAGAAUGCAGUGGGCAGAGAGAGGAGUGUCUGCCCCUUCUUUUUACAGGCCUGCUCGCUUUUGAGAAGCAUUUCCAGCUGGGACCAAGGCAACAGGCAGUCUGCCUGGAAGGAAACUCGAUGUUUCUUUACUAAAUGUAGAAUAUUUUUUGACCCUGCUCUCUUUCCUGCCAAAACAAAGAAUGGCCAUCUAGCAGGUAACAGUCAAUCAGCUUUGUUAAUACCUGGCUGAGACAUCAGCUUGCCCUUUGUCGCUGAGGAAAUGGUCUGGCCAUUCUCCAGAUUUAUCUAAAAAACACUUUUAGUCAUGAGCUCAUCUUAUGUUUAUAACUUCACAUAUAAGUUAUAUGUGCUUUUUGCCAUGGUAUUACUGAUCAGCUAAUUAUGAGUUUUUAAAUGAUAUCUCACAAGGCAUACCUGGUAUAAACAUUGUUAGAACAGUAUGUAGGGUGUGAACACAGGGAUAUAUUCUGUCAGAAGUUCCCAAGGAAAAGUAUAAUGCAUAAAUGUAUAAAAGAUCUCCUUGACAAAGUAUUAAUCUGACUACAAGUCCAUGCCUCUGCAAAUUUAGAGCCUCAGUCAAAGUGCAUUGAAGUCCAUGGAAAGACUCCCAUUGGCUUCGUUAGGCUUUGGAUCAAAAGGAUCUCAGAGAACUUACAGAAAGGUUGAUUGUGAAAUGCAGCAUUUGAUUGUAAUACCUAUCCAGUAUUUUUCUAUAUCAAGCUGAAAAGGAUGGCUUCAUAUUCUAAGAAUCAUGUUUGUAAUACCCAGAAUCCCCUAUAACCAUAGCCAUAAAUCCAUGUGGUGCCGACUCUGACUUCCAUCCUUCAGAGGCAGACAAAUUGAAUAUGAUGCUGUUUCCUCUGUGAGUUUUCCAGAAACCACCUUAUAAUGGAGAACAUAUUGUAUCUGCUCUACAUGGACCUAAAAGAUGCCACUGCACAAGAAUUACAUACAUGUACUAGAGCAAUAUUGUAUACACUUUUCAAGCUACUGCAGUGUCAUUUCUGCCACCAUUCUUUAAUUGUACACCUCUACCUCGAUAUAACGCUGUCCUCGGGAGCCAAAAAAUCUUACCGCGUUAUAGGUGAAAUUGUGUUAUAUUGAAUUUGCUUUGAUCCACCGG